rnacentral:rRNA from 1 species
AUGGCUCAGGAUGAACGCUGGCGGCGUGCCUAAUACAUGCAAGUCGAUCGCACUACUUCGGUAGUGAGAGGCGAACGGGUGAGUAACACGUAGGUAACGAUAUCUAUAUGACGACGGAUAACGGUUGGAAACGACUGCUAAGACUGGAUAGGAGUAGAGGAGGCAUCUCGUUUUACUUUAAAGGACUUUUCGGAGUACGCGUAUGGAGUGACCGUGCGGCGCAUUAGUUAGUUGGUGGGGUAGUGGGCCUACCAAGACGAUCGAUACGUAGCCGGACUGAGAGGUUGAACGGCCACAUUGGGACUGAGACACGGCCCAGACUCCUACGGGAGGCAGCAGUAGGGAAUUUUCGGCAAUGGGGGGAACCCUGACCGAGCAACGCCCGCGUGAAUGACGAAGUACUUCGGUAUGUAAAGUUCUUUUAUUAAGGAAGAAAGUGCAGUGGAAAAACUGUAUAGACGGUACUUAUUGAAUAAGCCCCGGCUAACUAUGUGCCAGCAGCAGC